rnacentral:rRNA from 1 species
GACAGAGGGUGCUAGCGUUGUUCGGAAUUACUGGGCGUAAAGGGCGCGUAGGCGGCUCGUUUGAGUCGGGUGUGAAAUCCCGGGGCUCAACCCCGGAACUGCAUUCGGAUACUGGCGGGCUAGAGACCGGAAGAGGUGGGUGGAAUACCCAGUGUAGAGGUGAAAUUCGUAGAUAUUGGGUGGAACACCGGUGGCGAAGGCGGGCUCACUGGUCCGGUUCUGACGCUGAGGCGCGAAAGCGUGGGGAGCAAACAGG